GAUGGAAGAUCACAGGAGGAUGGGAAGGAGUUGACAGAUCAGCCCCCCAAAAAGGGCCUGUCUGUUGCAGAGAAAAGCCAAAACAACACCCCCAUCGGUCUAUCCACUGGCCCCUGUGUGUGGAGUAACAACUGGCUCCUCGGUGACCCUGGGAUGCCUGGUCAAGGGCUACUUCCCUGAGCCAGUGACCGUGACUUGGAACUCUGGAUCCCUCUCCAGUGGUGUGCACACCUUCCCAGCUCUCCUGCAGUCUGGACUCUACACUAUGAGCAGCUCAGUGACUGUCCCCUCCAGCAUCUGGCCCAGCCAGACCGUCACCUGCACCGUUGCUCACCCAGCCAGCAGCACCACGGUGGACAAAAAACUUGAGACCAGAGGGCCCAAUUCACCAAACAAGACCUGUCCUCCAUGCAAGGAGUGUCACAAAUGCCCAGCUCCUAACCUCGAGGGUGGACCAUCCGUCUUCAUCUUCCCUCCCAAGAUCAAGGAUGUACUCAUGAUCUCCCUGACACCCAAGGUCACAUGUGUGGUGGUGGAUGUGAGCGAGGAUGACCCAGAUGUCCAGAUCAGCUGGUUCGUGAACAAUGUGGAAGUACACACAGCUCAGACACAAACCCAUAAAGAGGAGUACAACAGUACUAUCCGGGUGGUCAGUGCCCUCCCCAUCCAGCACCAAGACUGGAUGAGUGGCAAGGAGUUCAAAUGCAAGGUCAACAACAAAGACCUCCCAGCACCCAUCGAGAGAACCAUCUCAAAAAUUAAAGGGCUAGUCAGAGCUCCACAAGUAUACAUCUUGCCACCACCAGCAGAGCAGUUGUCCAGGAAAGAUGUCAGUCUGACUUGCCUGGCCGUGGGCUUCAGCCCUGAAGACAUCAGUGUGGAGUGGACCAGCAAUGGGCAUACAGAGGAGAACUACAAAGACACCGCACCAGUCCUGGACUAUGACGGUUCUUACUUCAUAUACAGCAAGCUCGAUAUGAAAACAAGCAAGUGGGAGAAAACAAAUUCCUUCUCAUGCAACGUGAGACACGAGGGUCUGCACAAUUACUACCUGAAAAAGACCAUCUCCCGGUCUCCGGGGCUAGACCUGGAUGAUAUCUGUGCUGAGGCCCAGGAUGGGGAGCUGGACGGGCUCUGGACGACCAUCACCAUCUUCAUCAGCCUCUUCCUGCUCAGCGUGUGCUACAGCGCCUCUGUCACACUCUUCAAGGUAAAGUGGAUCUUCUCCUCAGUGGUGGAGCUGAAGCAGAAAAUCUCCCCUGACUACAGAAACAUGAUUGGGCAGGGAGCCUAGGCCACUUCCUCUGGGAUCAGAAGAGCUUCCUAAGCCCCGCAGAGGCCCAUCCAUCCUACUGUGCAGCCUAACAGGGAGGACACACUCUAGCCUUAUGACUCUCUGAUCCAGAACUCUCCAUGGUCUCCCCUUUGGAGGACCACAUGCACAGCAGGCUUUACCCCAGACCUAAACACUUCCACGGCAGUUGCCAGAUAACUAACUGAUCAGCGCCAAAAUAACCAUCUCCUUCCAAACCAGCACUAGGGGAUCUGAGAUCUCAGAACGUUUGCCUAAAACGAGCUGGGAAUCCAGGUUGCCUGAGUUCUGCUGCAAGGACAUCAGCCCUGGAGUUGGCCGGGACCUCACAUUUUCAUCUGAAAUGAAUCUUCCCAGAAAGGGCAAUGUUUUCAGAUCCUUGAAUGGAGACAUCUGCUAGGAAGACCAGGGUCACAAUAGCCCAAAGAUCACUCUGGUAUCCUUUGCACCAGCUAUGCUUGGACAGCUUCCUUCCUGGUACUUCAGUGAACCCUGGGCUGAGGAAAGGACCUGUGAUCCUCAAAGUGGUGGGAUGAGCCCUCUGAAGAAGAUGCAGUCUUCUCUUCCUGCUACCCACUCAAGAUGCUGGUUUCUCAGAUGCAGAAUCCAAUCCACAGACACUGUUGUCCACAGAACCUCAAGACAAGGCCACUGCCACCUCCAGAGGCAGAAGGACUGCUUUGUGUAGCCUCACAAAGCUCUAGCAGGGACAAGUGUAUACACCACUGAGUACUGGCUAGGUA